UUUUUAUCCUUUGCAGACGACUUGA
rnacentral:rRNA from 1 species